GACGAACGCUGGCGGCGUGCUUAACACAUGCAAGUCGAACGGAAAGGCCCUGCUUUUGUGGGGUUCUCGAGGGGCGAACGGGUGCGUAACACGUGAGUAACCUGCCCUUGACUUUGGGAUAACUUCAGGAAACUGGGGCUACUACCGGAUAGCAGCUCCUGUUCCAUGGUGGGGGUUGGAAAUUUUCGGCGGUUGGGGAUGGAUUCGCGGCUUAUCAGCUUGUUGGUGGGGUAGUGGCUUACCAAGGCUUUGACGGGUAGCCGGCCUGAGAGGGUGACCGGCCACAUUGGGACUGAGAUACGGCCCAGACUCCUACGGGAGGCAGCAGUGGGGAAUAUUGCACAAUGGGCGGAAGCCUGAUGCAGCAACGCCGCGUGCGGGAUGACGGCCUUCGGGUUGUAAACCGCUUUCGCCUGUGACGAAGCGUGAGUGACGGUAAUGGGUAAAGAAGCACCGGCUAACUACGUG
rnacentral:rRNA from 1 species